UGGGGAAUCUUGCACAAUGGGGGCAACCCUGAUGCAGCGACGCCGCGUGAGCGAUGAAGCCCUUCGGGGCGUAAAGCUCUUUCGACCGGAACGAUAAUGACGGUACCGGGAGAAGAAGCUGCGGCUAACUACGUGCCAGCAGCCGCGGUAAUACGUAGGCAGCAAGCGUUGUUCGGAGUUACUGGGCGUAAAGAGUGCGUAGGCGGUUUUCUAAGUUCGGUGUGAAAUCUCCCGGCUUAACUGGGAGGGUGCGCCGAAGACUGGGACGCUGGAGUGCGGGAAAGGCAGGCGGAAUUCCUGGUGUAGCGGUGAAAUGCGUAGAUAUCAGGAGGAACACCGGCGGUGUAGACGGCUUGCUAGACCAUAACUGACGCUGAGGCACGAAAGCGUGGGUAGCAAACA
rnacentral:rRNA from 1 species